rnacentral:rRNA from 1 species
GUAGUUAGGAUUGAAAGCCUAACUAGCUAAAUGCACGUAGUCGUAACUGAAAGGUUGAUCGACCACAGUGGGCCUGAAUAAAGCCCAUGACGAUUGUCACAGCAGUGAGGAAUAUUGGUCAAUAGCCUAACGGCUGAACCAGCAACUUGGAGGAAUGUAUAGCAAUAGCUACUUGCAUCAUUGAAAAUAGAUGCAAGAUCGACUAUGUCGAAUAAAAUUCUAGGUAGAAUUAUGAUAAUGACAUUGUCUGCCUAUGUGUCUUGACCAAAUUACGUGCCAGCAGUCGCGGUAAUACGUAGAAGACUAGUGUUAUUCAUGUUUAAUCGGUUUAAAGGGUACCUAGACGGUAAAUCAAGCCUAAAAGGAAGGAAAUAAAGGGACUAAUUUACUAGAGUUACUUAUGAGGGGGUAUUAAAGUACUGCUGGUGUAGAGAUGAAAUUCUGCAUACCUCUUUUCAAUAGAAAAAUAAUGGCACANGUAUAGGCGAAAGCAUCCCCUUAUGUGAUAACUGACGUUGAGGGACGAAGGCUUUGUGUAGCGAACAGGAUUAGAUACCCCAGUNGUCAAAGCAGAAAAUGAUGAAUGUCAUAGAUUAGAUAUAUAAGUUUAUUCUAUAAAUGAAAGUGUAAGGCUUUCCCCUUCAAGAGUAAUUUGGCAAC